rnacentral:ncRNA from 10 species
UUCGUUCAUUUUGAUAUUUUUCAAAACGGAAGUAAACGAAAGUUGAAGGAACGCAUG